ensembl:snRNA U6 U6 spliceosomal RNA
CUGCCCGCUUGGGCAGCAUAUAUACUAAAAUUGGAAUGAUACAAAUAUUAGCACGGUCCCUGUGCAAGGAUGGCACGCAUGUUUGCAAGCAUUCCACAGUUAAA